CUACGGGGCGCAGCAGUCGAGGAAAUUUUACAAUGCUCGCAAGAGUGAUAAAAUGAGCCAAAGUGUUUCUCUUAGAGAAACUUUUAUUUGAUGUAAAAAGUCAGAUGAAUAAGGACUGGGCAAGACCGGUGCCAGCCGCCGCGGUAAUACCGGCGGUCCAAGUCGCAUCCACAUUUAUUGGGUCUAAAACAUUCGUAGCUUGUUUUGUAAGUCUCCUGUGAAAUCUGACAUCUUAAGUGUCAGGCGUGCAGGAGAUACUACAUUGCUAGAGACCGGAAGAUGCAAAGAGUAUGGUUGAGGUAGUGGUAGAAUACGUUAAUCUCAAUUAGACUAACAAUGGCGAAGGCACUUUGCAAGUACGGAUCUGACAGUGAGGAAUGAAGGCUAGGGGCGCAAAAGGGAUUAGAUACCCCCGUAGUC
rnacentral:rRNA from 1 species